GAGUUUGAUCAUGGCUCAGGACGAACGCUGGCGGCGUGCUUAACACAUGCAAGUCGAACGAUGAAGCCUAGCUUGCUAGGUGGAUUAGUGGCGAACGGGUGAGUAAUACGUGAGUGACCUACCUUUGACUCUGGGAUAAGCCUGGGAAACUGGGUCUAAUACCGGAUACGACCAAUCUCCGCAUGGGGUGUUGGUGGAAAGCGUUAUGGAGUGGUUUUAGAUGGGCUCACGGCCUAUCAGCUUGUUGGUGAGGUAAUGGCUUACCAAGGCGACGACGGGUAGCCGGCCUGAGAGGGUGACCGGCCACACUGGGACUGAGACACGGCCCAGACUCCUACGGGAGGCAGCAGUGGGGAAUAUUGCACAAUGGGCGCAAGCCUGAUGCAGCGACGCCGCGUGAGGGAUGACGGCCUUCGGGUUGUAAACCUCUGUUAGCAUCGAAGAAGCGAAAGUGACGGUAGGUGCAGAGAAAGCGCCGGCUAACUACGUGCCAGCAGCCGCGGUAAUACGUAGGGCGCGAGCGUUGUCCGGAAUUAUUGGGCGUAAAGAGCUUGUAGGCGGUUGGUCGCGUCUGCUGUGAAAGGCUGGGGCUUAACCCUGGUUUUGCAGUGGGUACGGGCUAACUAGAGUGCAGUAGGGGAGACUGGAAUUCCUGGUGUAGCGGUGGAAUGCGCAGAUAUCAGGAGGAACACCGAUGGCGAAGGCAGGUCUCUGGGCUGUAACUGACGCUGAGAAGCGAAAGCAUGGGGAGCGAACAGGAUUAGAUACCCUGGUAGUCCAUGCCGUAAACGUUGGGCACUAGGUGUGGGGGACAUUCCACGUUUUCCGCGCCGUAGCGAACGCAUUAAGUGCCCCGCCUGGGGAGUACGGCCGCAAGGCUAAAACUCAAAGAAAUUGACGGGGGCCCGCACAAGCGGCGGAGCAUGCGGAUUAAUUCGAUGCAACGCGAAGAACCUUACCAAGGCUUGACAUAUACUGGACUGCGUCAGAGAUGGCGCUUCCCUUCGGGGCUGGUAUACAGGUGGUGCAUGGUUGUCGUCAGCUCGUGUCGUGAGAUGUUGGGUUAAGUCCCGCAACGAGCGCAACCCUCGUUCUAUGUUGCCAGCACGUGAUGGUGGGGACUCAUAGGAGACUGCCGGGGUCAACUCGGAGGAAGGUGGGGAUGACGUCAAAUCAUCAUGCCCCUUAUGUCUUGGGCUUCACGCAUGCUACAAUGGCCGGUACAGAGGGGUUGCGAUACUGUGAGGUGGAGCUAAUCCCUAAAAGCCGGUCUCAGUUCGGAUUGGGGUCUGCGAACUCGACCCCCUGAAAGUCGGAGUCGCUAGUGAAUCGCAGAUCAGCAACGCUGCGGUGAAAUACGUUUCCCGGGCCUUGCACACACCCGCCCGUUCAAGAGCGAAAUUCGGUUGAAACCCAGGCAGGGAACGUGUCCCCAUUGGGAGG
rnacentral:rRNA from 1 species